AUUGAACGCUGGCGGCAGGCUUAACACAUGCAAGUCGAGCGGUAGCACAGGGGAGCUUGCUCCCUGGGUGACGAGCGGCGGACGGGUGAGUAAUGUCUGGGAAACUGCCUGAUGGAGGGGGAUAACUACUGGAAACGGUAGCUAAUACCGCAUAACGUCGCAAGACCAAAGAGGGGGACCUUCGGGCCUCUUGCCAUCAGAUGUGCCCAGAUGGGAUUAGCUAGUAGGUGGGGUAAUGGCUCACCUAGGCGACGAUCCCUAGCUGGUCUGAGAGGAUGACCAGCCACACUGGAACUGAGACACGGUCCAGACUCCUACGGGAGGCAGCAGUGGGGAAUAUUGCACAAAGGGCGCAAGCCUGAUGCAGCCAUGCCGCGUGUGUGAAGAAGGCCUUCGGGUUGUAAAGCACUUUCAGCGAGGAGGAAGGUGGUGAGCUUAAUACGUUCAUCAAUUGACGUUACUCGCAGAAGAAGCACCGGCUAGCUCCGUG
rnacentral:rRNA from 1 species